AAUCAACGCUGGCGGCGUGCCUCAGACAUGCAAGUCGAACGAUUAAGACUUCCUUCGGGAAGUGCAUAAAGUGGCGCACGGGUGAGUAACACGUAAGUAAUCUACCCUCGAGUGGGGAAUAACGUUCGGAAACGAACGCUAAUACCGCAUAACGCAGCGGCACCGCAAGGUGACAGUUGUUAAAGGAGUAAUUCGCUUGAGGAGGAGCUUGCGGCAGAUUAGCUAGUUGGUAAGGUAACGGCUUACCAAGGCUACGAUCUGUAUCCGGUCUAAGAGGACGGUCGGACACACUGACACUGAAUAACGGGUCAGACUCCUACGGGAGGCAGCAGUCGGGAAUUUUGGGCAAUGGGCGAAAGCCUGACCCAGCAACGCCGCGUGAAGGAUGAAGUAUUUCGGUAUGUAAACUUCGAAAGAAUGGGAAGAAUAAAUGACGGUACCAUUUAUAAGCUCCGGCUAACUACGUGCCAGCCGCCGCAGUAAAAC
rnacentral:rRNA from 1 species